GUCAGUGUGGUGUAGUGGUUUGAGCAUUGGACUAUGACUCUGGAGACCAGGGUUUGAAUCCCUGCUCAGCCA